CCUACGGGAGGCAGCAGUAGGGAAUCUUCGGCAAUGGACGAAAGUCUGACCGAGCAACGCCGCGUGAGUGAAGAAGGUUUUCGGAUCGUAAAACUCUGUUGGUAGAGAAGAACGUUGGUGAGAGUGGAAAGCUCAUCAAGUGACGGUAACUACCCAGAAAGGGACGGCUAACUAGGUGCCAGCAGCCGCGGUAAUACGUAGGUCCCGAGCGUUGUCCGGAUUUAUUGGGCGAAAAGCGAGCGCCGGGGUUUUAUUAAGUCUGUUUGAAAAGGCAGGGGCUCAACUAUUGUAUGCAUUGGAAACUGGUAGACUUGAGUGCAGGAGAGGAGAGUGGAAUUCCAUGUGUAGCGGUGAAAUGCGUAGAGAUAUGGAGGAACACCGGUGGCGAAAGCGGCUCUCUGGCCUGUAACUGACACUGAGGCUCGAAAGCGUGGGGAGCAAACAGGAUUAGAUACCCUGGUAGUC
rnacentral:rRNA from 1 species